CGGGAGGCUGAGGCACGAGAAUCGCUUCAAUCUGGGAGGCAGAGAUUGCAGUGAGCCAUGCUCGUACCACUGCACUCCUGCCUGGGUGACAGAGCGAGACUCUGUCUCAACAAAAAAGAAAAAAAAAACAGAAUACAAAAAAAUUAAAUGGGCGUGGUGGUGCACAUCUGUAGUCCCAGCUACUCAGGAGGCUGACACAGGAGAAUCACUUGAACCCAGGAGGCAGAGGUUGCAGUGAGCUGAGCUCACGUCACUGCUCUCCAGCCUGGUCGACAGAGCGAGUCUCUGUCUUAAAAAAAAAAAUAAAAACCAAAAAACCCAGUCCCUAUGUCACCGACUCCAGGAAGCUUUAUUUGACUUCCCUCUGCCGCCCUAGUGCCACAUGCUUUUGUCAUUACCCAUUCACACAAUCGCAUCACUUGCCUUCUUCAAUGCUUUCUCUACUCAACUGUCACUCCGUGAGGCUCAUCUCUGCAGCACCGGUGUCUAGCACAUCAUGAACACUCUGGAACCAGCACCAGUUCUACUUCCUCAGCCGGGCAGCUCUCCUGUUGGUCAGGUCCCAGACGCCCGUAGCACUGGGCAGGUUCAGCCCUGGUGUAGCACACCUCACACUCCUGGGGGCAUCACCAGGCUGCUGCUUGCCCCUGGAAUGCCUCCUGGCUUUGCCUCCAGGACAUGUUUUCUAGAAUUGCUUGUCAGCUUCUGACUUAUGGAGGCUGCCUUAAUUCCCUGCAUUUACAUGGGCUCAGGUUCCACAGUUUCCAAAUGCUUGCCAGUUCCCCUGGCCCUGGUGCCAGUGGCUAGUCUUCACUUACCGGAGCGAUCGCCGUGGGGUGUCCCAAAGCCAGCAAGAACCUUCCUCCCCAGCCAUGAAAACAAGCCCCAGCCUGCCCUUGGGAGAAUGAGAGACUAUAGGAAGCAGAAGUGAGCCAUCCCAGCUGAGGCCACUAUGACCAACCAGUAUCAGUGUCCAGACAACCUAGCAGCUGACCACAGAC
rnacentral:lncRNA from 10 species